GUUCUUCAUUUUCAAUCAAAAUAAUUACUUAUGUUACUUACAUGAUACUGUAAAACAUUAAAAGCCUCUGGCUUCUUCGUUUUCAUAUGUUUUGAAUUAUUCAAGAAAAAAACGCGUACCAAUCAAUUUUAUAAAGAAACUUUCACGAUUCCAAAAUGGCCAUGGAGAAUGUUCAAGUUAGUUUACAUUGGUUUUCGAGCGUUUUUGAGGCAUUUGACGCGUAUGCUGUCCACUUAAUCCCACUUGCCCUAGAUCAAUCCUUAUUCUUUCUGGUUAGUUUUUCGGCUAUUCCCCUUGCUUUUGUGUUGCAAUGGAUACUCACAGCACCAAGAGUUGGCGAGAACGUACGGCAUUUAUACUGUUUGACGAUCGGCCUUCUCUUCUCUGUAAUCAGUUUGCGAUGGAGUGCAUUGAACAUUGUGAUACCGACAAUCGUCUCUUAUCCUCUUCUCAAAGUUUAUAUCAGAUCAAACUCACUUGGCCGAACCACCGCUGCCAUUGCUAUGGCCUACCUCAGUGUUCAUCACAUCUACAGGCUGACCUUGAAUUAUGGCGAAGAUAUCAUGGACUGCUCGGUUCUUCUGAUGAUAUGGACUCAGAAAAUGACUUAUCUAGCGUGGAGCCUCAGCGAC